rnacentral:rRNA from 1 species
UAAACUGGGAUUAGAUACCCCACUAUGCCCAGUCGUAAACACCGAUACCCACAAUCCGCCAGAGAACAACGAGCAAAGCUUAAAACCCAAAGGACUUGGCGGCAUUCCACACCACCCUAGAGGGGCCUGUCACAUAAUCGAUAACCCACGAUAAACCUCACCACUUUUAGCCACAUCAGCCUAUAUACCGCCGUCGCCAGCCCAUCUUGAAAAGAAACAAAAUAGGCCCAAUAGUUUCCCCACUAGUACGACAGGUCAAGGUGUAACUCAUAAAGUGGAAAAUGAUGGACCACAUUGCUAUCCACAGCUAAACCAAAAUUGCACUGAAACACACACUUUAAGGUGAAUUUAACAGUAAAGCGGACAAGAAAAUCUGCCUGAAGACUGCUCUGGAACGUGCACACACCGCCC